rnacentral:rRNA from 1 species
CAGUAGCCGCGGUAAUACGUAGGUGGCAAGCGUUGUCCGGAAUUAUUGGGCGUAAAGCGCGCGCAGGCGGUUUCUUAAGUCUGAUGUGAAAGCCCCCGGCUUAACCGGGGAGGGUCAUUGGAAACUGGGAGACUUAGAGUGCAGAAGAGGAGAGUGGAAUUCCAUGUGUAGCGGUGAAAUGCGUAGAUAUAUGGAGGAACACCAGUGGCGAAGGCGACUCUCUGGUCUGUAACUGACGCUGAGGCGCGAAAGCGUGGGGAGCAAACAGGAUUAGAUACCCGCGUAGUCCCUGUCUCUUAUA